rnacentral:tRNA from 1 species
UAAGAGUGGCUAAUUAAGCUAAAAUUUCACUGUAAAUGAAAUAUCAAUUAUGAUUACACCCUU